GAUACAAGAGGCCUACAUAGAUGCUCCAUCGAAGAAGAUCUUGCAAAGAAUAUCAUUACCUCAAACUACAAACUUUAAAAGGAAUGUGGAUCAAAGAUUCCAGAAGAAGUCAUUACUGGCCUUAACUUCUCCCAAAAGGACCCACAACCAAACUCUAGUGGAGGAUUCAACAGAAGAAGGCUAAGUGUUGCAGAAGCCAAUGAUAGAAGGGC
rnacentral:lncRNA from 1 species